UUAAUUUAUAAAUUUACAUUCAUUCACAAAAAGUUCUUAGGCUUAACUAGGCUGAUCUCACUGAGCCUAAUCAUAAAUGUCUUUGGAAAAAUUAUUAAUAUAGGGGAAUAUUCCAUAGUUUAUGUUAAUUUUCAAAAUAUGUAUUUUUAUUGACUAAUUGAGAUGAAUUACUGCCUAAGAAUAAUUCUUUGUAUGUGAAAAAUAAUCUGCUUAAAAUUUCUUUCUACAGAAUUCUAUAAAUCUGAAGACUAAACUUUAAAAUAAAAUCGUCAGAGGAAAGGAAUUGGUAGAAAUAAAACUGGAAACAUCCAGAAUCUUGAUGGUGUGCCAAACCAGAUGUCAACUGGAGCUCAACCAAAACCUAAAGCUAGACUGCCAAACCCAAUUUCAGCCAUAGAGUACCGGAUGUAUAAAGUUCACUGUCCUGUGGAACAUGUCUGAGGUACCAGUGCUGAGGUUUGAAUGUGGUCCUGGCUGCAAAAUACUGAGGGCAAGACCUCUCCCAGUGAUGAAUUUCCUUCAGAAAAAUCAACAAAUGUUCAUCAUAUGUCUCUUCUAUACCACACUUGCUGCUCAGCACAUCGCAUGAAUUAUUUUACUUACUCCUUAAAGCAACCCCAUUGACUGACAAGGAAGUGAGGUUCAGAGAAAUUUGGUAACUUUCUGAAGGUCAUGCAGCUAGUCACUGUCUUUCUGAUUGCUAAGCAUAUGAUCUUAAGCAUAUGAUUUAAACUGUAUUUAUUUUUAGUAUAAUGGGGAAUGGUUUCACAA
rnacentral:lncRNA from 1 species